UUUGUUUCUCAUUUCUGCUGCCUGUGCCAAGUAACUGAUGCCUUGCACAGCCAGAGGCUGCAGCAGGCUGGGUUCCCUGUGUGCCCAGGGUAUGGCGUGCCCCGGACAAUGUGCUCACAUCUGGAAGGGAUGAUUUCUCUGGAUUCUCCACGACCCCUGGAACCCAAGGGCUGCUGCUCUGGAUAUGGUCCCAAGACCCCACCCCUGCCGCCUGGAGCCUCCUGCCUGCGUGUGGCCAUCAGACUCUGCUUCCCUUCCGGGUCGCAGCCUGGAACCAUCCUUCUGUCUGACCAGAGCUUCCUCAGACUCAGUUUCCUCACUGGCCAAACAGGACUAAGAGAAGGGCUGCUCACAGGCAGUUAAGGAAAACCAAGGACAGAGCACUACAAGUUUGAAUGUGCUUUGCUCCACGCUGGGCAUUACAAGAUCGAAUGAGCUUUGCUCCAUGCUGGCCUCUGAGCACAGUGCCAGUCAAACGCUGCUGUGACGCUUGCCCUGCAUGAUCCCUGCCCCUAUACCAUGGACCUCCCCAGGUCAGCACCAUGUCAGCUUUCAUUCAUUUCUUCAUUCACUUACUUCACCCCAACUCUUCCCAUUCACUCAUCCCCUCCAUUCAGUAUUUCUCCUUCCUUCACGCAGCUUUGUGGUGUUCGUUGACUCUAGUCCAUGGGUUUGAUUUCAUUAUUUUAUCCAUUCAUUCUGGUUCAUUUUGCGUCAUUGUAUGCCUCCUUUUUUCCUUUUCACUCCAUUCAUUGCCCGUAUUCCACUUAUUCAGGCAUUUAUUCCAUGUCACCUUUUCACUGUGUGAAAGCCCUAUCUUCAGUUCUGCAUGCUAUGGUGUGCCAGACACUAAGGCUCAGCACUGGGUUACUGCAGGUUGCAGUCACUAACCUGGAGGGUGUGGCAGCACCUGGCUUCCACAGCCAACUGUGUGUGCAAUUCGUGUGUGUCCAUGUGUGUGCUUGCAUGCAUGUGUGCACAUUCAUUCUCAUGUGUGUACGCAUGCAUGCUGCUUUCCCAGGAUGGGGAGGAGCCGCACUGUCCUUGCCUCUUUCUCAGUUCCUGCUGUGCCAGGGGAAACCGUGUUUUACAGGGCGCAGGUCAGGUGUGGAUCCGAUUGGAGUCUUGAACUCCCUGGAGAGGGGCAAGCAUGAUUUGUCAAGGUUCCCCCAAAGCAAAGAAAGAAUUCUGCAGAGUCUUGGAAGUCAUUCUAUUGUUCUUGAGAAAUCUUUGCUUGCCAAGGCGAUUCCUUAUGACUCCAUCCUGGUACCAGGAUGAUAGAAGGCAUUGAUCUCCAUCUGGGAGCUCAGCCAGGCAGGGGACACGGGGGUGUCAUGCUCAGCCCUGCAGUGAGCAUCAUGGGGCCCCCAAGAUCCACCCCAGCUGUGGGGGGGGCACCCUAGAGAGGACGCAGAGACCCAGCCCCACUGUCCCCUCCCGACUGAAGCAGAGCCAGGGAGGAGAGGAGAAAAGAUCAUCAAAAUCCAGCUACCUCAGAGGCUGUGUUUUAUUGCCAAGCAUGACUCCAGAAAAUUAUGAAAGUUUCCGGCUGUAUCCAGAAGUGGGAAGAAACCAAGGAAGUUUCCUUAUGUGAAUAAGGAACAGUGCUGAAAGCCAGCUGCCCAGUGCCCGCUCAGCAGGGUCCUGGCCCGGUGGUGAGUGGUAGCGUCGGGUUCUCAUGGGCCCACAUGACCAUUCAGCAGCUGGGUGACCUUAAGCCCAUCAGGUAACUCAUCCAAGCCUUAGUCCAGCCAUCUGGGGAAUGGGUCAGGAACAGUCCCUGCUUCAUAGAUUCUCAUGAACCUCAAGUAAGAAUGUGAAUAACUUGACUCGCUCACAGUAAGACAGUAUAAGCAUUAUUGCUGUCAUUUUAAAAACCUGAGACUGGGCCAGGGAUUUAGUUCAGUGGUUCCGCCGCCUGCCUUGCAAGUGGAAGGUCCCGAGU